UAUUCUGUCCUUUUACAUAACUGAAGCACUUACAAAAGACUUGAAUAGUUGAAGCAUUUUAUCCCUAAGUCUGCUCACAUUAUACUUUAUAAAACGUAUUUGUUUAUGAAGCGCCUGUUUCAUCAUCAUACAACCUUAACUUUGAUCCAAAAUUAACAGUAUUCUUUCAUAGUCAAUACAGCAAAUUCUUCUGAGACAAACAGGAUAAGUCUCUUGGUUCCAUCAUUUUAAGAGCACUAUUAACACUAGAUCAUAUUGGACCGUAAAAAAGGAUACCGGGUGUGGAACAUGAUAGUGGCCAUUCUGGGAACUGUGCCAGCUGACUUGGGGCAAGGGGCUGAUUAAUUGCAGUGCAGAUGUUCGUGCUUGGACUGCAGCCUGCACCCUACAACCCUGAGAGGUGGGAGGGUCCCAGACCUCAGACUGCAGCCCAAGUCCAAACACCUACCUCACAAUUGAACAGCCCCAAGUCAGCUCGGAGAGUUCAAGCCCCAUGAGCUUGAGUCAGUUGACAUGGGCAAGCCACAGGUAUCGAAUUUCAGUGUAGACAUACCCUUUAUGUUAAGAACCUGAAUUAAUAUAUGCCGAACAAAGAUGAUGGUAAAGGUCGAAGUGUCAGGUAAUUUAUUGCUCUGAAGGAAAGUACAUUUUCUAGCACUCCAUUAUGCAAAAAGUACAUUUCAUUCUCACAAAUUACUUAGGCACUUUGUUGAUAAACAUUCCAAUGACUUUUUUUUUCAAACAACCUUUUGGGGCCAAUCCCCAGUGAAAUCAAUGGCAAAAUUCCAUUAAUUUCAGUGGGAGAUCAGGGCCUUUACCAGCAAAUUCCAAUCUGUAUAGAUAAUAUCCCACCAUAUAGUUCCUUUCCUCUCUAAUAUAAUGCCCUAUUGAACCAGACUUUAGAACUGUAUUAGACAGCAGAAAUCCUAACUACUGUAGAACCAAGAUAGGAAAAUAAAUCCAGCAAAAGAUAUAGGUUUAAAAAGUAUGUACUUAUAAAUUAGAUCUAAAAUUUAUACCUCAGAUUAAUUUUUGUCUGUGGCAAUAACAAUUUUAGGAACACUAAAAAGCUCAGGAAACUCAGAAAUUUAAAUUGGAAAAAAAAACUUAUAGCAAACAAGAAGUGAAACAAAAUAAGCUUAUCUGAUCUUCUCGCUGCAAAAAAAAUAAUUCAGCUGCAGCAAUCCCUUGCUAUUAUUUUCUGUUGUCUCCUGACCAAUCCCCUUUUCUGCCAUGGUCUCUUCAUUGUCAGUCUAAUAUAGAUUGUAAACUCCUCAGGGCAGAACUUAAGGCUUCUAAUUUGCUUGGAAAGGACCCUGUACACGCAUGGUUUUAAACAAAUAUAUCUGUUAUUUUACUGUAAGUGAAAUUAACUUCUGGAACAGGGAUUCAUUUUUUAAAAUGUGAGAGCAUGAAGAUUCUGGGGUUAGAGGGAGCUUUUAGUUCCAUGCAGCUACUUUUUAUGUCAAUUUAGAAGCAGCUUUGAUGGAUUCUAAAGCCAGUCCUAACCAGCUCUCCUAAAACAGGAGAUUGCAACAAUGUGCUGACUUAAGGAUGGUGAAUUGCCUUGCGUACUUUUGCUAUUUGGACUGAUAAUAUAGUCAAAGGAUAAAAGCUUUUAAAGUCAAUGCAUCAGUAGUCACCAUGAAAGUAUAUAUCAGUCCUAGUGUAAAAAGCAAAGGUAACAAUUGAUAUUACUUGAAUAUACUAACACUGGAUAUACAAGUGCCUGAACUAGUACCAUAAAACAAACAAUGUAUUUCAAAAGGCAAAUAUUGGAGGCUUUGAGGCUAAAAAUAACCAAACUAUUACUAUCAAGGUGUGGGUAUGUUGUAUCACUAUCUAUACUCUAGCAAGUGUAAAGCUGUUACCAUAUGAUGGCUGUUCAGUGGCCAACAAGAAAUGCGUAAGUGGUCUCGGCUGAACUUGCAGUGAAGAAACGUCCACAAUUCACAGGUGCCAACAUAAUAAUUCUCAAUACCAGGCAUCCUUGCUGGCAGACUUGGCAUAGAGGCCCAGGAUUAAAUAGACAGGGGGAUUAGUCAGGCAUUGGCAGGGUAGUACAGAGUAGUUUGCCCUGCACUGGGGCAAGAUGACUUGCUGUCCUUGCUGCUGCCAAUACAGCAACUAUCAUAAGCAACAAAUUAAGGUUUAUAAAAAUGGACUGUCAGUCCAGUGGUGGCACACUAUAUGCUGUCAAAGUUCAAACUCAGCUGCUCCAGUCAACAGCCUACUAGAUAAUACUUAGUCCUGCCUUGAGUGCAGGGGACUGGACAAGAUGACCUCUCGAGGUCCCUUCCAGUCCUAUGAUUCUAUGAUAGUGCUAAAGUUCUGUUAGCACUGAAAUAGUUAAUAUUGAUAUUUAAACUGUCAUCUUUGAGGUAAUAACCCACUGAGAUGACUGAGGCCAUUCAAACCUCAGUUGUUGUUUUUCUGCUGGUUGCAAAGACACUAAGUUCUUGUUUUCUACACAACCAUUGCAGAUACAGACUUUUUUUUUUUU